GACGAACGCUGGCGGCGUGCCUAAUACAUGCAAGUAGAACGCUGAAGAGAGGAGCUUGCUCUUCUUGGAUGAGUUGCGAACGGGUGAGUAACGCGUAGGUAACCUGCCUUGUAGCGGGGGAUAACUAUUGGAAACGAUAGCUAAUACCGCAUAACAAUGGAUGACACAUGUCAUUUAUUUGAAAGGGGCAAUUGCUCCACUACAAGAUGGACCUGCGUUGUAUUAGCUAGUAGGUGAGGUAAUGGCUCACCUAGGCGACGAUACAUAGCCGACCUGAGAGGGUGAUCGGCCACACUGGGACUGAGACACGGCCCAGGCUCCUACGGGAGGCAGCAGUAGGGAAUCUUCGGCAAUGGGGGCAACCCUGACCGAGCAACGCCGCGUGAGUGAAGAAGGGUUUCGGAUCGUAAAGCUCUGUUGUAAGUCAAGAACGGGUGUGAGAGUGGAAAGUUCACACUGUGACGGUAGCUUACCAGAAAGGGACGGCUAACUACGUG
rnacentral:rRNA from 1 species